GUGGCUCCAGGUUUGUUUUUCUCCGGUACAGCCUGGUAGGGAGGGCUCCCGGCAUCUCCCUGCUUCGGGGCAGAGGAUGCCGGGGGUAGAGUACGGGAGGGCUGGAGCGAGGGUGGACUGGAGGUGCCGCUUGUCCUGGAGGUGGGAGAGAGGGAGCGGCUUUGCCGCCUGGCCUGCGUCCUAAUCCUGUCCUGGUUCUUCUGCUCCCGAAGGGAACGUAGGUCCCGCGCCUGUGAUAAGUAAGGUUGGAUUUUCUCUUCCCUGAGGUGAAGGAUGCCCGGAGGCCUCGGCAGGACCGUGCGGAAACGGGCCUUCUGCCCAAAAGAUGCUGCUUCUCUCCUUAUUCUUUCCCCUCAGAAUCUCGCUGUCUCCUUCCAACCACCUGUGGUCGGCAUCCCCGCGUUGUCACUGCGACGCAGAGGCGAGCGAGGUCGCAGCUUCAUGGCCUGAUGCCUUCAGGAAGUAUUUUGAAGUCAUCGUGGCUGUGGAUUGGGGGAUUUCUUGUUUCCACUGACCUGUGAGGCCGCGCACGUGGAGGGAGGCACCCCGGGUCCUCCGGCACUGUCCGGCCUCGCCUGUGUCCCUAGUAGCAGUGGGCAUUUCCAGACGGUGCAGCUUGUGGCUAAAGUGACAGGAAGAUGUAGGAGCUUUCAGUCUUGGAUGAGGAUUCGAACUGAAGGGCUUAGGCCCAGCUGUCUUGGAGCAAAACAUCUGUUGUGGGAUGUGGCGGCAGAGGAGGGCAAGGCCGAAGGAGCAGACAGCACCGCUUCUUGGGGAGUUGUGAAGGCAUCAUGCGGAGGGCCGAGCUUAGCAGCCAAGUGGAGGACAGCACCCUCCAUGCCUGGAUUCGUUACUCGCUCGUUCUCGAUGUUGAGCUGCUGGCAUAUUGCAGCACAACUAGAGAUGUACGGAUGCCCCCAUCUUGAUCUUACAGAAUCAGAGGUGCAGCCGCAAGAAAGAGUCAAGAACAGACACUGAGUCGCUUGAGGACUCAGGCAGGUGUUUGCUGCAUUGACAACAGACUACACCCUCUCGGUUUUCUCUGCUCUGCCAACACUAGUGGAAUAUGAUCACAUCCCAGGGAUCAGUGUCAUUUAGGGAUGUGACUAUGGGCUUCACUCAAGAGGAGUGGCAUCAUCUGGACCCUGCUCAGAGGACCCUGUAGAGGAAUGUGAUGCUGGAGAACUACAGCCACCUUGUCUCAGUAGGGUAUUGCAUUCCUAAACCAGAAGUGAUCCUCAAAUUGGAGACAGGCAAGGAGCCAUGGAUAUUAGAGGAAAAAUUUCGAAGCCAGAGUCAUCUGGGUGAGUUAGUGCCAGAUGGAAUUUAAAGAAUUAAUUAAUACCAGUAGAAACUAUUCAAGAAUGAAGUUCAAUGAGUUUAACAAAGGUGGAAAAUGUUUCUGUGAUGAAAGCAUGAAAUAAUUCAUUUUGAAGAGGAACCUUCUGAAUAUAAUAACAAUGGGAACAGCUUCUGGCUGAAUGAAGACCUCAUUUGGCAUCAGAAGAUUAAAAAUUGGGAGCAACCUUUUGAAUACAAUGAAUGUGGGAAAGCUUUCCCUGAGAAUUCACUCUUCCUUGUACAUAAGAGAGCUUACACAGGACAGAAAACAUGCAAAUAUACUGAACAUGGGAAAACCUGUUAUAUGUCAUUUUUUAUUACUCAUCAGCAAACACAUCCAAGAGAGAACCACUAUGAAUGUAAUGAAUGUGGAGAAAGUAUCUUUGAGGAAUCCAUUCUCUUUGAACAUCAGAAUGUUUACCCAUUCAGCCAGAAUUUAAAUCCCACUCUAAUUCAGAGAACCCACUCAAUUAGCAAUAUUAUUGAAUAUAAUGAAUGUGGAACCUUUUUCAGUGAAAAAUUAGCCCUUCAUUUACAACAGAGAACACAUCCAGGGGAAAAACCUUAUGAAUGUCAUGAAUGUGGAAAAACCUUCACCCAGAAGUCAGCCCACACAAGACAUCAGAGAACACACACAGGGAAAACCCUAUGAAUGUCACGGAUGUGGGAAGACCUUCUAUAAGAAUUCAGACCUCAUUAGAAAUCAAAGAAUUCACACAGGGGAGAGACCUUACAGAUGUCAUGAAUGGAGAAAUCCUUCAGUGAAAAGUCAUCCCUUACUCAAAAUCAGAGAACACACGUGGGGAGAAAUCAUGAAUGUCAUGAAUGUGGGAAAACCUCGUUUAAGUCAGUUCUAACUGUGCAUCAGAAAACACACAGGGGAGAAGCCCUAUGAAUGCUAUGCAUGUGGCAACACCUUUCUCAGAAAAUCCGACCUCAUUAAACAUCAGAGAAUUCACACAGGAGAAAAACCUUAUGAAUGUAAUGAAUGUGGGAAGUCAUUCUCCGAGAAGUCAACCCUUACUAAACAUCUAAGAACACACAGAUGGGAAAUCUUAUGCAUGUAUUCAAUGUGGAAAAUUUUUCUGCUGCUACUACAGUUUCACAGAACAUCUGAGAAGACACACAGGGGAGAAACCUUUUGGAUGUAAUGAAUGUGGGAAAACCUUCCAUCAGAAGUUGGCCCUAAUUGUUCACCAGAGAACUCAUAUAAGACAGAAACCCUAUGGAUGUAAUGAAUGUGGAAAAUCAUUCUGUGUGAAGUCAAAACUCAUUGCACAUCAUAGAACAUACACAGGGGAGAAACCCUAUGAAUG
ensembl:lncRNA ZNF37BP zinc finger protein 37B, pseudogene